UACGGAGGGAGCUAGCGUUGUUCGGAAAUACUGGGCGUAAAGCGCACGUAGGCGGCGCAGCAAGUCAGGGGUGAAAUCCCGGGGCUCAACCUCGGAACUGCCCUUGAAACUGCAGUGCUAGAAUCUUGGAGAGGCGAGUGGAAUUCCGAGUGUAGAGGUGAAAUGCGCAGAUAUCGGGAGGAACACCAAUGGCGAAGGCAGCUCGCUGGGACGGUACUGACGCUGAGACGCGAAAGCGUGGGGAGCAAACAGG
rnacentral:rRNA from 1 species